AUAUAUAUAUAUCAGCUAGCUAACCCUCUCCAUCUCUACAAUCACCCAUCUCGCAGACUAGCUCGCUCUCUACACAUACCAAGACAUACAUUUGAUUCCCUAAAAAUCUCAGGUUUCUUUCGUGUCAAGAAUGGGGUCUCAAGGAAAGGCUCGAUACUUGACAAUAAUAGUACUCCUUGUUACCAUUAUUUUGUUAUCAUGUUCUAACCUUACUGUGAUAGCAAGAAUAGAGAAGAGAGAUCCAUGCAUAUAUCACCCCAAUGAUCCUACGUGCAGACCCGGUGAACCAGCUGCAGCUCAAAGGUUUGAUGGGGGGAGGAGUUAGGAGAGGUGGUUUGACCUAAUCGUAUGAUGAAUGAUCAGUAAUCGUUUAUCCUUGUAUUAGCCAAGAAGGAAGGCAUGGCUACUUAAUUUAUCCAUGGUAAUUAUUUGUGUGUCCUCCUUCGCUGGUUAAGGUUACUUCCUAGCUAUUGCCAUGUUUUCUUUAAUUUCCCAUGCUUUUUGGCAUUUGUACCCAUUAAUUCUUCCCCUUGCUUUGAUUUGCCAAUGUUAUGCUAUUAAUAAAGUUUCUUCAUUUAUCUAAAAGAAAAAAACGCUUGCAUAUGCAUGCAAUUAAUAUUUAAAGUUUUUUUUUUUUGAAAGAUGUGUAUAUUAUUUAAACGCCAAAGCCUGGUGGGAGUAGUACAGAAACUACACAAUAUCUUACUAUGGCAAAAAGCCAUAAAUAUGAUAAAGCGCAGUAUAAGAAAAACAAAAGCAAAAAAAACCUUAGAAUAGCCAUCCGAAUGAGCUCAAAGCUAAAUUAACAAUCCUCUACAAAACAAAAACGAAAAUAACUCAAAGACAUAAUGGGAGAAGACACAAGAGCAAGGCCAUAGAAAAAAAAUAAAUGUAGUCAAAGCCAGGCAACAAAAUCACUUGAUCUCUGCACUCCUUGUUUAGCCAUGCAGUCUGCCAUGCAAUUACUUUCACGGAAGAUAUGGGAGAAGGUGAUUGAACCAAAAUAUGCUUUCAGCCUAUUAACAGAGGAGAACAAAUUAUGAUGCUUUCAAGGACGGCUGUGAGGCUUAUUCAUCCAGCUAAUAACAUUGACAGAGUCAGAUUCUAUGAUGAGGUGUUGAUGGUGGAAGAGACAAUUAGAUGCUGAAAGUUCAAUGGCUUUGACAAUAGCCCUUAACUCAGCAAUAUUAGAGUCUAAAAUACCAACUGGAAUAGAGAACAUACCGAGAAGAUGUCCAUGAUGAUUUCGCAGUACACCAACUAUUCCAGAAGGGCCUAGCUUACCAAGAGACAAGCCAUCCACGUUCCAUUUGAGGCUAUUAAUCAUAGGAGGAGACCACAUAUUAUGAAUCCUGAAUUUAAAGUUGAAAAGACAAUAAUAUUUUCUCAUUGGGAAAAUUAAUGUCUACGCGUUGAAUAAUUUGGCCUCUUCAAGUUAUGACAUUACUCUUUAAUAAUGUUAGAAGUAAAUGUCAAAACAAUCUUUUUAGUGAAUUUUGUUGCUGGUGGAAGUUCAUUUAAUUUGUACAGUAUGGCUUGUUUCCUGUUUUUCUUCUGGGUUUGGCUCGUAGCAGGUCAUGAGCCCCCUGCUAUUUUGCUUUCCGACGAAUAUAAUCUUUCAUUCAUAAAAAAAAUCAAAAGAAGAAGAAAUUAUAUUUACCUCAGCCAUGAAUGACUUUUUCUCGGCUGCGAGGAGCCCAAGACCUCAAAUUUGCAGUUUAUAAAAUCAACUGAAGAGCUUAUUUCAAUGUUUAUUUGUGCAUUAAUAGAUAAAUAUAUUAGGGGUCUCACAACCUAAUGUUACAACUUUUAGAAAAGGUUGCAGAGAAAACUUUAAUAUAUUAAUAAAAAAUAUUAUUUCAUAAAUUCUUCUUUGAAAAAUAGCCUAUAAGAAAGUUUAAAUACAAAAAUAAAUUAUAUAAUUAAACAGUAGCUUUUAAACUGAAUUUAGCAUGUUCAUGAACUCAAAUGAAGUUGUCUUACUAAUGGAACAAGUCUUUUUAGAAUGUUUUCGUACUUAAUAAUCAAAUGAUAAAUUAUAUCUAUUUUCAUUAGACUAUACAUUGAAUUCAUCCGAAACUCUUUGAAACCUAAAAAAAUCUUAACAAAUAAAAGAAGUUAGGCAAGAAAACUAAUUAUGCUACAUAUCAAAUAUUACACUUUCGUUCCUGUAAAUAUGCACAAAUAAAAAAAGUUCCUUGGGACAUUUGUAUACUUUAAACAUGAUCUUUGUUGUGAAAAAUUUAAAGCUUUUUGAAAUUUCGAGGAAAGUAUAGUUUUCCAAUUGUGCAAGAAACAAUUUAAAGUUAGGCAAGUCACAAAUGCUUCGAAGAAAAUAACAAGAAACAAUUUCGAGGAAAGUAUAGUUUUCCAAUUCAACAUAUUGGAAAAGUUUUUGAAAUGAAUUUAAAUGCUGAAUACUUUUCCAAUUCAACAUAUUGUGUCUCAUAUAUCAGCUAGCUAACCCUCCCCAUCUCUACAAUCACCCAUCUCGUAGACUAGCUCGCUCUCUCUACACAUACCAAGACAUACAUUUGAUUCCCUAAGAGUCUCAGCUUUCUUUCGUGUCAACAAUGGGGUCUCAAGGAAAGGCUCGAUACUUGAUAAUAAUACUCCUUGUUACCAUUAUUUUGUUAUCAUGCUCUAACCUAACUGCUCCUUUGGCUCCAUGCAAAUAUGAUCCCAAUGAUCCUAGUAAGUGCAAAGUCGGUGAACCAGGUGCAGCUCAAAGGUUUGAUGGGGGGAGGAGUUAGGAGAGGUGGUUUGACCUAAUCGUAUGAUGAAUGAGUAAUC
rnacentral:lncRNA from 1 species